rnacentral:rRNA from 1 species
AACGAACGCUGGCGGCAUGCCUAACACAUGCAAGUCGAACGGGAUCUUCGGGUCUAGUGGCGCACGGGUGCGUAACGCGUGGGAAUCUGCCCUUUGGUUCGGAAUAACAGUUGGAAACGACUGCCAAUACCGGAUGAUGACGAAAGUCCAAAGAUUUAUCGCCAGAGGAUGAGCCCGCGUAGGAUUAGCUAGUUGGUGUGGUAAAGGCGCACCAAGGCGACGAUCCUUAGCUGGUCUGAGAGGAUGAUCAGCCACACUGGGACUGAGACACGGCCCAGACUCCUACGGGAGGCAGCAGUGGGGAAUAUUGGACAAUGGGCGAAAGCCUGAUCCAGCAAUGCCGCGUGAGUGAUGAAGGCCUUAGGGUUGUAAAGCUCUUUUACCCGGGAUGAUAAUGACAGUACCGGGAGAAUAAGCUCCGGCUAACUCCGUGCCAGCAGCCGCAGUAAAAC